GAUCGCAUUACUCACAUCACGUUGCUGAGCAGUAUGCAGAAUGAUCUCUUGUGCGAGUGUGAGUAGUAUUCAACUGCGUAUGACAUGUGGGAGGCUCUCAAAGCAAAAUUGGGUGUAACUUCGGCUACAAGGUUGCGUAGUCUGACUAUGCGGUUUGAUAGUUAUAAAAAGCGUGCUGAUCAGACUAUGAAAUAGCACGUUAGAACAAUGUUAAACAUAAUUCGCGAGUUAAAGUCGGCUGGCGGCACCUUGACUAAUGAGCAGCAGAUCCAAGCUAUGAUUCGCUCCCUUCCCAACUCGUGGGAACAUAUGCGAGUAAAUUUGACCCAUAAUGACAAUAUCAAAAUUUUUGAGGAUGUUGUGCGGUAUUUGGAGUUGGAGGAGGAGCGCCUUGAGGCUGUUAAAACUCCAACUACCAAUGCUGCUGAGUCAAACUUUUGCAGUACAUCUGGGUUCAAGCGAAAGAGGACUACUGGAGCUCAAAAUCGUAGCGGAUCGGCGCCUAAGAACGCGAAGAGCACUAAAAGAAAGAGAAGCAAACGAGGUGGCAAGAAGGACAAGUCAAAGAUGACUUGUUUCAACUGUAAUUAGCUGGGACACUUCGCUCGUGAUUGCAUUGAGCCGAAGAAGACUCAGAAGCAACAGACCACGUAGCGAGGGAUCGGAUGGGAUUCGUCGAGUACUGUCGUGUGCCUGCUGGGAGCAGAAGAGUAUACAUGGGGAACGAUUCAAGUGUCGAUGUGUUAGGCGUUGGCACAUACAAGUUGAUCAUGCAAGGUGAUCGAACUUUAUACCUACAUGAUGUACGUUAUGCUCCAGGAAUUCGGCGGAACUUGUUUUCUAUUCUUGCUAUGCUACAGUUAGGCUUUUCUUUUCGUUUUGAGAGUGAUGUAGCUAAAAUUUAUCUUGGAACUAUUUAUUAUGGAAGAGGUUUUAUGUCAAA